GCAUCCACCUACUCUCGAGAGAGGCUUUCGCGAUUCGCGGAGCAUUGAUACCCCUUCAGCACAGAAGCUUGCAGCAACGUUGCGAGACUACUGCGUGGAAAUUACGGACAAGCAACGACAACUUUUUACCGCGCGCAACAAGAGAAACCUGGGACGGAUGACUGUAUUAAAAUUCACUUUUCCUCUUGCUCAGCUUUUUCAGAUUAUCAAGGCUUAAAGUCUUUCAAAUAAAGCCCGUCUUCCUCUAAGCCAUUUUCUGAGCCAGGUAAAGCUAAAUAUUUAUUCUGUUAUACUGUUAUAACUAUUAUAUCGAUACAUGAGCAUAUAUGCGAGACGCUUUUUUCUCACAUUUAUUUAUGUUGUGUUUCUACACUUUUAUGUGAGUUUCUGAUUGUAAUGGGCUUUAUUCAGUGGUAAAUAAUAUCGAUAUGUGUGUAACGAGAUCGCUGGAUACGAUGGACCAUUUUCAAGCUCUCGAUCCUUCACAUUUAUACUGCUAUUUAUCAAGCUGUCACGAUUAAUAUAUUGUGUAGUUUACUUGCAUUUUUAUCUCUGUAAGCUAAUUGACUAAAGACUGAAUUUUAUCUUAAAUAGAAAUACAGUAUCUCGAUGAAUCCCGAUAAACGAUACUGUAUCGCGCGCACAAGCAUCGCUUAUGCCGCCACGAUGGACGCCAAGGCGAAUAUAUGUCCGGCGUCAGUAAUUAUCACGACAGCGUGUAUUAAUUGGACCGUGCGUACGUUACAUGAAUAAACAUGAGGUCGUCGAUCACGUAAAUUCACUCCUGGCGACGGUUUCGGAGCUCAGAAGAGAGCCGCGCCGCGCGAUCCACCGUAAAGUCGACAACGGGAAGGUGCUUUAUUUUUAGUGGCGGUUAUUUACAGAGAGAAAAGCAGAAUCGAUGAAAUACGUGGAUGAUCAUUGCGCGAUUGUUCCUCAGCGAUUUGCGAGGAAUUCACUCUCGCGAAGGUCGAAAUAGUCGCUGCUGGAAAAUCAAAGACGCGUGUUUCGCCUGAAAAUUAAACGUAUGUUUUUUUUCAUUGAAAGAUGUAAAGUAAAUAAAAAUAAUUCUUAUAUCUAGAUUUGUUGAAACUGUGAUAACGUAAUUUUCUAUAGGAAAUAUUGCGUAACUUUCCGUAUGAAAUAUCCGAAAUAUUAGGAUUUAAUCUACAAGCCAAUAAAAAUGUUGUAUUAAAUAAAAUUUCCUACUUGCAAUAAAAAAAUAAUGAAGUCGAUUGAUGAAUUGUGUACCUUCAGAAGGCUACUUUCCGGUUAUCCCCUGUCCCCUGAUUUAUCGGUGUUUAUUAUUUUAUCAAAGGCAGUAAGCCUGUAAUAUGGUCAGUCGGCAAAGCUGUUCAAUCGCCAAUCUUAUAAUGCAAGUACAUAAAAAACUAAAACUCUAGGUAAGAUAAUAUUUUUACUAUAAAUAAAGAAAAAUAAUUUAUGAAAAAGUUUUUUCAUAAAAUAUUUUCUUAUAUAAAUAUAUGACUCAAUGAAAAUGAUUGCGAAUGAGAUCGGCAUCAGCUAGAAUGUAAUCAGCAUCAACUCGAUACAAAGAAGAUACAAUCCUUACUGAAUUGUUAAUUAGAAAACGCAUAUUAAUUAAUAUAUCAACAACAUAUACAUUAAAAUUCUAGAUUAAGAAACUACAUCGCUAUUGAUAAUUUCGUGCGAAUCUUUUUUGUUUGCAGAUGCUAAUUGUUAUUUUGCUAUUUCUAUUUAAACACCUCGUAUUUUUAAAAGUAUUAAUGGAGAAUCUCGAUUAUAAGAAGGACAAUUUCAAGAUCAGGAAAACUGUUGACGGAACGCGAUUUGAGGUCUUCUCAUCUCUGCUGAGAUCUAUCCGUAACAUCAAGAGAAAUAUACCAUCUAGUUGACGGACGCUAUAUUACAAUCGUCAUCGAUUAUCUCGACGCAUGUCGAGCAACGCGCCGACUCAUCACACUGAUAACACCCGACAAUUUGAACACGCACCCGAUAAGUCAACAGGCGUUUCGAAUGACACUAAUGCCGAUUGCGUCGAGAUCACACUGACACAUCGCAAAACCAAUAUGCAUUAUUGACGUCAUGAUAAGCGACGAAUCCGGGCAAUUGACGAAAUACAGAUUUACGUGGUACAUAGAAAAUUAUAAUGAUCGAAAACGAAAUGAUCAGAUGUAUUCAAUGUUAAUAUUGAUUUUUACACGACUUCAUCGAUUCCGCGUAGCGAUGGCGUGAUUACUCUGAUACAUGAAUAUUCGGAAAUUCCUGACGACGCAGAGUCACUUACAGAGUACAUUGAAGAUACACGAGGAAAAUACAUGCUAUUAUAUUUUCUUAUCAUUAUUUAUUGUUUUUCAGACAGACUCUUUGAACAUAUAUUUACAGAGGAUUAUACAACAAACGAAGGAUGUUCGUUCUGUAAAGCACGCAUAUUGGUCACGCGAGAAAUUCAGUCUGGUUUUCUCACCGGCCAAAUUUAAAGAAUGACUCUUUCCUUAAUAAUGUAUACGUUGAUCAGCUCUUACGAAUGAUUAAUAAACGUUCUUAAUAAUUGCUAAGCUAAGCAACAAGGGAUGAUUACCGGCGUCGAUUUGGUUCUUUUUCAAAUAUGUUGUUAAAUAUGAAUAAUAGAGAUAUGUAUUUUUUAUACGUGCUUCAAUAUCAGUUGUCAAAGGAUGAAUUCUUCUUGUUUAAAAAUAUAUAUGAAAAAGAACCAACUCGAGGCCAGAUACUCGUGACAUUCUCUUUAUAAGAAAAAAGACAUUACUGCAUCCAUUGACCGAUAUUUUUACUUGAAAAAGUGGCGUAUAUUCGCUCUAAAAGAACACAAUGCUACUUUAUCUUCGCGCGUAGACCAAUAACGUCAUGCGUAUUCGUCUCUUAUCUACAAUGGUCCCCUUUGUAUUGAUUGUCUCAUGGUGCAACGUGAAUCGCCUUCUCACUUUUACGAGCGAUGCUUACGUCAAGUCGUAAAAAAACGAUUCCCAUCGUGCAGAAAGCGAUCGAGGUUCACCAUAAGGAAAGGUAGUUCUUCGAAAGAAAUCGCGAAGCGGUUGAUAAAAGUGAAAUAUAUUGCGAAAAACACGCGAAUACUUGGAAUAUCGGAAUAGCAAAUGAACAAAUUACGAUAUGAACGAUAUUCCAAAUAUGAAUCAAACAAGGAUUAGUAUUGGAUGUAUUAUUCUAAA